ACUGGCGAACUAGGAACCGGGAGAGGUAAGACGUACUUCGGGGGUAGGAGUGAAAUCUUGUAAUCCCCGAGGGACGACCGAUGGCGAAGGCAUCUUACCAGAACGGCUUCGACAGUGAGGGACGAAAGCUGGGGGAGCAAACCGGAUUAGAUACCCGGGUAGUCCCAGCCGUAAACGAUGUGCGUUAGGUGUGUCAGCGACCACGAGUCGCUGAGGUGCCGAAGGGAAACCGUGAAACGCACCGCCUGGGAAGUACGGUCGCAAGGCUGAAACUUAAAGGAAUUGG
rnacentral:rRNA from 1 species